rnacentral:rRNA from 1 species
AUGCCACCUUCUGUGCACGACACGGAAGGCCUGCCGUUCAUGAAGCAUGGUUGUGUCUUCAGUGCACACCGCCGGAUGAACGACAUGCUGGGACACGCUAUCCCUGAUUUAUGCCGCUUCAGCUUGGAUGAGUCUCCAUCGUGUGGAACCGGACUAGAAAGCUGCGACAAUGAUUCCCGUUGCCCACUGCUAUGGAUCGUGCCAUCCAUGAAGAACACCUGGGACUGGAACCUGGAGGAGGACAUCAGACGCGAAUGCGCUGGCCUUCAUGAUUCCAGGACCUGGAAUCAUACCAGCCGAUGGUACCAUAUAACUGGAAUUAACCCAUGCAAUUCGAAGAAGGAUUGGCCAGUGCUGCUGGCUGGCGUCAAGUUCGAUCCCAUGGAUCAGGAGCUGAUCGAGCACCUUGAGGCCAAAGUGAGUGCUGACAGCGCGAGAUCUCACUCUCUCAUCAAUUUGUUCAUACCAACCAUUGACAGCGAGCACGGCAUAUGCUACACCCAUCCUGAAAACUUCAAGUCGGAGUGCGGCAUGCACGCGAUGUGGCACAACACCGGCAAUACCUUGCCGGUGAUGGUCAACGGCCGGCAGACGGGCAGCAAAAAGGUUCUGGUGCUGCACACCAACAAGAACUUCGACCAGCAGAGGACCAACUCGGUGAUGCACCAGUACCACCUCGGGGACCUGGAGCAAGAGAAGGAGCGGGAGCUGGUCCUCUGCAAGAUUUUCUACCAGACGAACACUAGGGCCAGGAGUCGAGCAAGUUUCAACUGGGCUGUAGACGGCCCAGGCUUGGUUUUGUUUUUAACAGGCCCAGCCCAUGACGACAACGGGGCACAAAGAUCUAGCAGACAGCCCUCCAGGAGGCGGUCGAACAGCCCCCCGGACGGUGUCGUGGACAGCCCUUCGGGAGGACCUUCGAAACUCGAACGGUCACUCGGACAGCCCUUCGGGAGGACCUUCGAAACUCGGACGUCCUUCCACAAGGACCUAGGAGUGAAACCAAGGAACAAGAGGGUCCCCAAGGGGGGAUACCCCAUGUGGCCGGCCACACCCCCAUGA